CGGACGGGUGAGUAAUGUAUGGGGAUCUGCCUGAUGGCGGGGGAUAACUACUGGAAACGGUAGCUAAUACCGCAUAAUGUCUACGGACCAAAGCGGGGGACCUCCGGGCCUCGCGCCAUCAGAUGAACCCAUAUGGGAUUAGCUAGUAGGUAAGGUAACGGCUUACCUAGGCGACGAUCCCUAGCUGGUCUGAGAGGAUGAUCAGCCACACUGGGACUGAGACGCGGUCCAG
rnacentral:rRNA from 1 species